AGCUGCACAUCGUGAACUAAUUUGGUUCCCACCGCACCAUUUUUCAAACGGCAGCAAUUAAGAGCGCGUGCAUUAUCAAUACUGCGUUGCCUUGGAAAUAUAACGUCUCUUACAGCGGAAAUGCGCAACAUGUAUUUCCACUAAAAGUAACUUUUAUCGCGUUUAACCAAAUUCCCAGUUAAUUUUAGCAAGCUCUCCUAGCAAGUCGCCCCAUCUACACUGGAAUUGAUUCAUAAUUUAACUCCGAAGGAACAUCCUCCCGGGCGAGCCACCACGCCGCCUGGUCACAGAGGAGGUCCGAGGCGGGCACUGGAAAGACGUGCGAGAGACACUUUCAGUGACCCAUACGGUCCGCGCCCGCCCCUACUGCCACCGGACGACUUCUCCCAGCAGAGACACGGGGUGUCCCACUGAAUCCCAAGUGGGCUGCAGUGUCUGUGGGGUUUUGUGAUUUCCAUUCAAAUCUCAAGCCUAAAUCAGCAGCUGAACAAGGUGUGUGGAUUCCUCAGCUAAUCAGUGAUUUACAGUAA